GAUGAACGCUGACAGAAUGCUUAACACAUGCAAGUCAACUUGAACUUCGGUUUGGGUGGCGGACGGGUGAGUAACGCGUAAAGAACUUGCCUCACAGAUAGGGACAACAUUUGGAAACGAAUGCUAAUACCUGAUAUUAUGAUUUUAGAGCAUCCUAGGAUUAUGAAAGCUAUAUGCACUGUGAGAGAGCUUUGCGUCCCAUUAGCUAGUUGGAGAGGUAACGGCUCACCAAGGCGAUGAUGGGUAGCCGGCCUGAGAGGGUGAUCGGCCACAAGGGGACUGAGACACGGCCCUUACUCCUACGGGAGGCAGCAGUGGGGAAUAUUGGACAAUGGACCAAGAGUCUGAUCCAGCAAUUCUGUGUGCACGAUGAAGUUUUUCGGAAUGUAAAGUGCUUUCAGUUGGGAAGAAAAAAAUGACGGUACCAACGGAAGAAGUGACGGCUAAAUACGUGCCAGCAGCCGCGGUAAUGCGUAUGUCACAAGCGUUAUCCGGAUUUAUUGGGCGUAAAGCGCGUCUAGGUGGUUAUGUAAGUCUGAUGUGAAAAUGCAGGGCUCAACUCUGUAUUGCGUUGGAAACUGUGUUACUAGAGUACUGGAGAGGUAAGCGGAACUACAAGUGUAGAGGUGAAAUUCUCACAUAUUUGUGGGAAUGCCGAUGGGGAAGCCAGCUUACUG
rnacentral:rRNA from 1 species